rnacentral:rRNA from 1 species
GGGGAAUAUUGCACAAUGGGCGCAAGCCUGAUGCAGCCAUGCCGCGUGUAUGAAGAAGGCCUUCGGGUUGUAAAGUACUUUCAGCGAGGAGGAAGGCGUUAAGGUUAAUAACCUUAGCGAUUGACGUUACUCGCAGAAGAAGCACCGGCUAACUCCGUGCCAGCAGCCGCGGUAAUACGGAGGGUGCAAGCGUUAAUUGGAAUUACUGGGCGUAAAGCGCACGCAGGCGGUCUGUCAAGUCGGAUGUGAAAUCCCCGGGCUCAACCUGGGAACUGCAUUCGAAACUGGCAGGCUAGAGUCGUGUAGAGGGGGGUAGAAUUCCAGGUGUAGCGGUGAAAUGCGUAGAGAUCUGGAGGAAUACCGGUGGCGAAGGCGGCCCCCUGGACAAAGACUGACGCUGAGGUGCGAAAGCGUGGGGAGCAAAC